rnacentral:rRNA from 1 species
UUGGAGGGCAAGUCUGGUGCCAGCAGCCGCGGUAAUUCCAGCUCCAAUAGCGUAUAUUAAAGUUGUUGCAGUUAAAAAGCUCGUAGUUGAAUUUCGAGACCGGCUUACUGGUCGUGCUAUUGUGCGUACUGGUAUAAUCGGUUUCUCCUUUCUGACGAACUAUAAUGCCAUUAAUUUGGUGUUAUAGGGAAUCAGGACUGUUACUUUGAAAAAAUUAGAGUGUUUAAAGCAGGCUCACGCUUGAAUACAUUAGCAUGGAAUAACGGAAUAGGACGUUUGAUUCUAUUUUGUCGGUUUCUAGGAUCGAUGUAAUGAUUAAUAGGGAUAGUUGGGGGCAUUAGUAUUCAAUUGUCAGAGGUGAAAUUCUUGGAUUUAUUGAAGACUAACUACUGCGAAAGUAUUUGCCAAGGAUGUUUUCAUUAAUCAAGAACGAAAGUUAGGGGAUCGAAGACGAUCAGAUACCGUCGUAGUCUUAACCAUAAACUAUGCCGACUAGGGAUCGGAUGAUGUUAAUUUUUUAAUGACUCAUUCGGCGCCUUACGGGAAAC